rnacentral:rRNA from 1 species
AGUGAACGCUGGCGGUAGGCCUAACACAUGCAAGUCGAACGGCAGCACAGUAAGAGCUUGCUCUUACGGGUGGCGAGUGGCGGACGGGUGAGGAAUACAUCGGCAUCUACUUUUUCGUGGGGGAUAACGUAGGGAAACUUACGCUAAUACCGCAUACGACCUACGGGUGAAAGCAGGGGAUCUUCGGACCUUGCGCGAUUGAAUGAGCCGAUGUCGGAUUAGCUAGUUGGCGGGGUAAAGGCCCACCAAGGCGACGAUCCGUAGCUGGUCUGAGAGGAUGGUCAGCCAAAAUGGAACUGAGACACGGUCCAGCCUCCUACGGGAGGCAGCAGUGGGGAAUAUUGGACAAGGGGCGCAAGCCUGAUCCAGCAAUACGGCGUGGGUGAAGAAGGCCUUCGGGUGGUAAAGCCCUUUUGUUGGGAAAGAAAAGCAGCAGGGUAAUACCCCGCUGUUCUGACGGUACCCAAAGAAUAAGCACCGGCUAACUUCGUG